GCUGGUGUAGCUCAAUGGCAGAGCAAUUGAUUUGUAAUCAAUAGGUUGCGGGUUCAAAUCCCAUCACCAGCUCCA
rnacentral:tRNA from 1 species